GAAAUCUAUUGAUUGGAACUGCGCCCUACAAC
rnacentral:sRNA from 1 species